AUGCCGUUCUCUGUCUCCGGCGGUUCGUCAUCAUAUAAGAAUUUCAAACAAAUAACCCGCCACCGAUUAUUGUAUGAGAUGCUUGCGUCUUGCAAAAGGAAGGACUCAACAAAAUGGAAGGUACUUAUCAUGGAUAAACUUACUACUAAGAUAAUGUCUUCCGCAUGCACACUCAGUGAUACAACAGAAGAGGGUGUUUCAUUGCUUGAAGACUUAGAAAAGAAAAGGCAGUCAUGGCCCAACAUGGAUGCAAUAUACUUUAUCCGGCCUUCUAAAGAGAAUGUUAACUUAUUCUUGUCAGACAUGUCCGGAAAAGCGCCAUUAUACAGGAAGGCAUUUAUUUUCUUUAGUUCACCUAUAUCUAAAGAUUUGGUUGGUCGCAUCAUGGAGGAUUUAAAUGUAUUAAGUCGCAUAUCUGCAUUGAGAGAGAUGAAUUUGGAAUUUUUAGCUAUAGACAGCCAGGGUUUUGUUACCAACAAUGAGAAGGCUUUAGAGCAGCUUUAUAAGGACAAGGAGGAUUCGUGCAAAGGUGUAUUGUGUUUGAAUGAGAUAGCUGUGCGUGUUGCCACAGUCUUGGCUUCUCUAAGGGAAUUUCCUGUUGUGCGCUACCGAGCUGCCAAGUUUCUUGAUGCCACCACGACGACUACUUUUCCUGAUUUAAUUCCUACAAAGCUUGCUGCUGGGAUCUGGGAUUCUCUCAUGAAAUAUAAAGAUACAAUUCCAGAUUUCCCUGAGACAGAAUCAUGCGAGUUGCUUAUCCUUGACAGAUCUGUGGAUCAGAUUGCACCGGUCAUACAUGAAUGGACAUACGAUGCCAUGUGUCAUGAUUUGUUAAAUAUGGAAGGAAAUAGAUAUGUGCUUGAAGUUCCAAGCAAAACUGGUGGUCUGGCUGACAAGAAAGUUGUUCUUCUAGAGCAUGAUCCUGUUUGGCUUGAGCUUCGCCAUGAACACAUAGCAGAGGUUACUGAACGGUUGAAGAAACUUGCCCAUUUUGUUUCAAAUAAUAAGGCUGCAGAAAUGGAGAAUUCAAGGUGUGACUCUCAUGAUCAAUCUACAAUGCAAUUGAAAAAGAUAACUCAAGCAUUACCACAGUAUAUCAAACAAAAGGAGAGGCUUUCCCUUCAUUCGGAGUUGGCAAAGUUACCACCAUGUGAUAUGGCUGCCGUGAAUAAUAUCAAACUGCUUGGUGGAUCAUCAGAGAAUAGAAACAGCUCAUCAGGAAUAUUUUUUCCGAAGUUUGAUAUUACUAAGAAGAAUCGUGCAUCAAGGAAAGAGCGUCCAAGUGAAGAACCAUGGCAGUUUUCGAGAUUUUAUCCUAUUCUAGAGGAAUUGAUAGAAAAACUUAGCAAAGGUGAACUGUCAAAGGAAGAGUAUCCAUGUCUAAAUGACCCAAAGCCAACUUUAAAUCAACUCCCUCAGGCACAUUCUAUGAGAUCAAGACGGACACCGACAUGGGCGCAGCGUGGGAUUUCUGGAGAUGGGUAUUUGUGCCCUUCCUUUGCUGUUGUGCUAAGGCAUGCAUCCAGUGAUUUCAAAAAGAUGGGCAAACGCAUAUUUGUAUUUAUAGUAGGUGGAGCUACUAGAUCAGAGCUCAGGGUUUGCCACAAGCUCACAGUAAAGCUGAACAGGGAAGUUGUUCUAGGCUCCACAUCUCUUGAUGAUCCUUCAACUUUUAUUACGAAACUAAAAAUGAUCACAGCAGACGAUCAGCUCUAAUCAGAAGAUCUCCUAAUCCGACAUGGAAACCGAACAAAACUUGUGUCUGUAAAAUUUUGUGUAUAA